rnacentral:rRNA from 1 species
CCUACGGGAGGCAGCAGUGGGGAAUAUUGGGCAAUGGAGGCAACUCUGACCCAGCAACGCCGCGUGAAUGAUGAAGGUCUUCGGAUUGUAAAGUUCUGUGAUGGGGGAUGAACACAAUGACGGUACCCCAAUAGCAAGCCACGGCUAACUACUUGCCAGAAGACGCGGUAAUACGUAGGUGGCAAGCGUUAUCCGGAAUGACUGGGCGCAAAGGGUGCGUAGGUGGUUUAGUAAGUUGGCGAUGUAAUUCCGGGGCUCACACUCGGGGCUACCGCCAAAACUAUUAGACUAGAGUGCAGGAGGGGGAAGUGGAAUGCCAUGUGUAGCGGUGGAAUGCGUAGAUAUUAGGAGGAACAGCAGGGGCGAAGGCGACUUACUGGA